GUGAGGCAAGGGUGUGCAUUGAGGUGAAUUUGGGGCAUAAGUUGCCCGACAGGGUUUGGAUUGAGCGCGCUGGUAAUCGUGGCUUCUGGCAGACAGUUAUCUAUGAGAAGCGGCCAAUUUUUUGCUUCUCUUGUAAACACUUGGGUCAUUCUUAUGAUCAAUGUACUACGGUUCCUCCUCCUCCUCCUGCAGUUGUUGUGCACCCCCCUGUUCGGCCCCCUAUUACUAGGACUGAUAAGGAUAAGGGCAAGGUGACGUUUGUGGAGCCAAAAAAGCAGUGGGUUCCAGUUUCAGCAGUGCCUUCUGUGCUUCCCACUACUACUACCGUAGUUGUGACUGAGUCAGAAUCUGCAUCGGCAGUUCCUACCUCUACUCGUAUCACAAUUGAUCCAGAGGUACCUCCGUAUAUUCAUUCAGUUGCUGAGCCUACUCCAAAUGCUCCUAUCGAGGUACCCACUUCUCCUAUUAUUACUUCCAUAGCUCCUAUUCCCAUAGCUACUACUGAUUUGCCCCCUGAGCCGACACAUAUGAGUUCUCCACCAUUAAAGACACACACAGAUAGUACUCAAUCAGCGCAGGGAUCAGGUACCGGGACAGUUCCUCAAACCACUCUUGCACAGGGGUUGUUGGCUGAGAUCAGCUCAGAGCGACAUGGUGUCAAGCAUAUGCUGAUUGAUCACUUUAAGAAGGACCAUGGAAUGAAAGUUGGAUCUACCAUGAGAUUUGCUAUUGAGGACUUGGUUUUUAAGCUCUUUG
rnacentral:lncRNA from 1 species